UCCCCCAUAGUGUAAUCGGCAGCACGCGGUCCUUUGAAGUCCGAAAGUUCAGGUUCGAGUCCUGAUGGGGGAA
rnacentral:tRNA from 1 species